GGGGAUGUAUGCAAACGGACAAAGCGGCUUGGCCUUCAACCAAGCGCCCGACGGGCUUUGCGGGUUCGAGUCCCGCCAUCCCUGCCA
rnacentral:tRNA from 1 species